AUGAUCUCCUCGUGCACUAGUUUCACGUUGCCUCUUAACAAACUUGUUGUGUCCGUCAAGGCCGCGUCCAAUGGCUCCAAAUCGAUUACCUUUCUCUCUGAUGUUUGGGUCCUUGUCGACGAUGUCCCUCCUGCCCUACGCUCCUCUGAGUUCUUGAUGGCUUUUGGCGUGCUGAUUGGCAAACCCAUUAUGGUUGACCUUAACUCCCUUCAGAUCCUUGGCCCUACUCGUCUCAGAGUUUGGUGUGUUGACCCCCUGUGUGUCCGUGGCGCUAUUGAUAUAUUCCCUUCUGUUGUCUAUGCGUCCGUGUUGAGGGCAUGA
rnacentral:rRNA from 1 species